rnacentral:lncRNA from 1 species
UUGCACUCGAGUUACCUCCCGUGCAAAUGACGUCACAGACGUAAAUAAACAAGAUGGCAGCGUUCACGUUACACUGACAGCCCAUCGAGAGACGAGAAAAUAAGGCUUUGGAAAUGAAUAGAGUGCCAGCAGCCGAUGUUAUCUCCUCUAAACGGUCCUUUUCAGGGCCAUUAAUAUUUUACGAAAAUUCACCUUUUGUACAUCCGAGAAAUUCUAGAACACAAACAUGACAAAUAUAUUUUCCUGAGCUAUUUUCAAACGUCAGCUUGUGUUUGUUAUGUAAAAAAUAUAGUGUUCAAAAUG